rnacentral:rRNA from 1 species
GAUGAACGCUAGCGGCAGGCCUAAUACAUGCAAGUCGGACGGGAUUGGAGAGCUUGCUUUCCAUGAGAGUGGCGCACGGGUGCGUAACACGUAUGUAACCUACCUUGUUCAGGGGGAUAGCCUCUCGAAAGAGAGAUUAAGACCGCAUAACAUUGCGAUGUGGCAUCACAUUGUAACCAAAUAUUUAUAGGAAAAAGAUGGGCAUGCGGAACAUUAGCUAGUUGGUAAGGUAAAGGCUUACCAAGGCUACGAUGUUUAGGGGAUCUGAGAGGAUGACCCCCCACACUGGUACUGAGACACGGACCAGACUCCUACGGGAGGCAGCAGUAAGGAAUAUUGGUCAAUGGGCGGAAGCCUGAACCAGCCAUGCCGCGUGCAGGAAGACGGCCCUAUGGGUUGUAAACUGCUUUUGCAGGGGAAUAAACCUUGGUACGUGUACCAAGCUGAAUGUACUCUGAGAAUAAGGAUCGGCUAACUCCGUGCCAGCCGCCGCCGUAA